UACAGAGGGUGCUAGCGUUGUUCGGAAUCAUUGGGCGUAAAGGGCGUGUAGGCGGUUUGUUAAGUCAUGUGUGAAAUCCCUCGGCUCAACCGGAGAAGGACGCAUGAAACUGGCAAGCUAGAGUACCAAAGAGGGGGGUGGAAUUCCCGGUGUAGCGGUGAAAUGCGUAGAGAUCAGGAAGAACACCGGUGGCGAAAGCGCUCUGCUGGACCUUAACUGACACUGAGGGACGAAAGCUAGGGGAGCGAAUGGG
rnacentral:rRNA from 1 species